rnacentral:rRNA from 1 species
ACUUUCAACAACGGAUCUCUUGGCUCUCGCAUCGAUGAAGAACGUAGCGAAGUGCGAUAAGUGAUGUGAAUUGCAGAAUUCCGUGAAUCAUCGAAUCUUUGAACGCAAAUUGCCUCUCUGGUAUUCCGGAGAGUAUGCCUGUUUGAGGGUCAGU